rfam:Beta vulgaris subsp. vulgaris Bvchr4.sca006.con0013.1, whole genome shotgun sequence.
AUUCCUCUAGAUAUGUAGUAUUAUGAUUAUCAUGGCCUAGAGAGGUGACCUCCAUUGCACUUCGGAGGGGCGCUUGUCUAACAUCUCCCCAAGAGGGAGAUUGUAUAUCAUAAUUUGUGAUAGCGGGGGCAUGCGUUCUCGCAGCCUCUGU